rnacentral:rRNA from 1 species
UUGGAGGGCAAGUCUGGUGCCAGCAGCCGCGGUAAUUCCAGCUCCAAUAGCGUAUAUUAAAGUUGUUGCAGUUAAAAAGCUCGUAGUUGAAUUUCGGGGUUCUACCGUCGGUCGGGCUAACAAGUCUGUACUGGUGUGUAGAACUUCUACCUUCUGGGGAACUAUCAUGUUAUUAAUUUAGCGUGGUAGGAAACCAGGACCUUUACCUUGAAAAAGUUAGAGUGUUCAAAGCAGGCUUAAGUCUGAAUACAUUAGCAUGGAAUAAUAGAAUAGGACGGUGGUCCUGUUUUGUUGGUUUCUGAAUCACCGUAAUGAUUAAUAGGGAUAGUUGGGGGCAUUAGUAUUCAAUUGUCAGAGGUGAAAUUCUUGGAUUUAUUGAAGACUAACUUCUGCGAAAGCAUUUGCCAAGGAUGUUUUCAUUAAUCAAGAACGAAAGUUAGGGGAUCGAAGACGAUCAGAUACCGUCGUAGUCUUAACCAUAAACUAUGCCGACUAGGGAUCGGACGAUGUUAAAUUUUAUUGACUCGUUCGGCGCCUUACGGGAAAC